rnacentral:rRNA from 1 species
UACGUAGGGUGCAAGCGUUGUCCGGAAUUAUUGGGCGUAAAGAGCUCGUAGGCGGUUUGUUGCGUCGGCUGUGAAAUCCCGAGGCUCAACCUCGGGUCUGCAGUCGAUACGAGCAAACUAGAGUGUUGCAGGGGAGACUGGAAUUCCUGGUGUAGCGGUGAAAUGCGCAGAUAUCUGGAGGAACACCGGGUGGCGAAGGCGGCAUCCUGGACCGACGCUGACGCUGAGGAGCGAAAGCCAGGGGAGCAAACGGG